ensembl:lncRNA
GGGAGUAUGAAGAGGCUGGAAGAGAGGAGGGGAGUAUGAAGAGACUGGAAGAGAGGAGGGGAGUAUGAAGAGACUGGAAGAGAGGAGGGGAGUAUGAAGAGGCUGGGAGAGAGGAGGGGAGGGAGUAGGAAGAGACUGGAAGAGAGGAGGGGAGUAUGAAGAGACUGGAAGAGAGGAGGGGAGUAUGAAGAGACUGGAAGAAAGGAGGGGAGUAUGAAGAGACUGGAAGAAAGGAGGGGAGUAUGAAGAGACUGGAAGAGAGGAGGGGAGUAUGAAGAGGGAGACUGGAAGAGAGGAGGAGAGUAUGAAGAGGGAGACUGGAAGACAGGAGGGGAGUAUGAGGAGACUGGAAGAGAGGAGGGGAGUAUGAAGAGGCUGGAAGAGAGGAGGGGAGUAUGAAGAGACUGGAAGAGAGGAGGGGAGUAUGAAGAGACUGGAAGAGAGGAGGAGAGUAUGAAGAGACUGGAAGAGAGGAGGGCAGAGUAUGAAGAGACUGGAAGAGAGGAGGGGAGUAUGAAGAGGCUGGAAGAGAGGAGGGGAGUAUGAAGAGACUGGAAGAGAGGAGGGGAGUAUGAGGAGACUGGAAGAGAGGAGGGGAGUAUGAAGAGACUGGAAGAGAGGAGGGGAGUAUGAAGAGGCUGGAAGAGAGGAGGGGAGUAUGAAGAGGGAGACUGGAAGAGAGGAGGGGAGUAUGAAGAGGGAGACUGGAAGAGAGGAGGAGAAGGAGAGCGAGGAAGAGAGGAGGAGAAGGAGAGAGAGGAAGAGAGCAGGAGAAGGAGAGAGAGGAAGAGAGGAGAAGGAGAGAGAGGUGGAAGAGAGGAGAAGGAGAGAGAGGUAGAGAGGAGGAGAAGGAGAGAGGAGGGGAGUAUGAAGAGACUGGAAGAAAGGAGGAGAAGGAGAGAGAUGAAGAGAGGAGGAGAAGGAGAGAGAGGAAGAGAGGAGGAGAAGGAGAGAGAGGAAGAGAGGAGAAGGAAAGAGAGGAAGAGAGGAGGAGAAGGAGAGAGAGGAAGAGAGGAGGAGAAGGAGAGAGAGGAAGAGAGGAGGAGAAGGAGAGAGGAAGAGAGGAGGGGAAUAUGAAGAUACUGGAAGAGAGGAGAAGGAAAGAGAGGAAGAGAGGAGGAGAAGGAGAGAGAGGAAGAGAGGAGGGGAGUAUGGAGAGACUGGAAGAGAGGAGGAGAAAGAGAGAGAGGAAGAGAGGAGGAGAAGGAGAGAGGAAGAGAGGAGGGGAAUAUGAAGAUACUGGAAGAGAGGAGAAGGAAAGAGAG